GACGGAAGGUGCAAGCGUUGUUCGGAAUUACUGGGCGUAAAGGGCGCGUAGGCGGCGUGUCAAGUCAGGCGUGAAAGCCCCGGGCUCAACCUGGGAACCGCGCUUGAGACUGGCAUGCUCGAGUUCGGGAGAGGAUGGUGGAAUUCCCAGUGUAGAGGUGAAAUUCGUAGAUAUUGGGAAGAACACCGAUGGCGAAGGCAGCCAUCUGGACCGACACUGACGCUAAGGCGCGAAAGCGUGGGGAGCAAACAGG
rnacentral:rRNA from 1 species